rnacentral:rRNA from 1 species
UACAGAGGGGGCAAGCGUUGUUCGGAAUUACUGGGCGUAAAGGGCGCGCAGGCGGCCUUCUAAGUCAGACGUGAAAUCCCCCGGCUUAACCUGGGAACUGCGUCUGAUACUGGGAGGCUUGAGUAUGGGAGAGGGAUGUAGAAUUCCAGGUGUAGCGGUGAAAUGCGUAGAUAUCUGGAGGAAUACCGGUGGCGAAGGCGGCAUCCUGGACCAUUACUGACGCUGAAUCGCGAAAGCUAGGGGAGCAAACGGG